CUCGCUCGCUCCUCCCAUCUCGCAAAAGCUCGAAGGAACACAUCGCGUCCGAUAAAAUAGAAAGUCGCCGUCCCACCACUCCCCCGGGCCCGGCCACCCCACCCGGUCCCGGACCUCGGCUCCCAGAUGCGCCUCCCCCAAUGUGGCCCCGGCCCACUUAGCCCCCGGCGGCGGCGGCGGCAGCGGCAGCCAUGAAGCGGCCGCUGCGGGGGCCCUUCGCGGCGCUCCUCUUCGUCGUGCUCUGCGGGGCGGCCUCGUUCCCGUCCGCGCUCCGGCGAGCGGUGGCCCCCGCGCCCGUGCGCGCCCCCCCGCUCGAUCCCGCGCGCCUCAACGCCACGCUCCUCCGGAUCGCCGCCUUCGAUCCCUCCGAGCCGUCGCUGCGGCGGGACGUGGACGACCUCCUCGAGGGCCGCCUCCCGGUCUCCUCCUUGCGGGGGGCCCGAGCGUGGCGCCGCGACAGGCUCCACCCGCUCCACCUCCGCCACCACCAGGUCCCCAUCCACCGCCGGAGCCACGCGGACCACGACCACGACUCCCUCCUCCACCCGCUCCCGCGCGAGGAGCUCCUCCUCGACCCCUCCCUCCGCCGCUCGCUCCGCUCCUGGCACCGCCUCCGCCGCCACGACCCCGCCGUCCUCCGCAACCUCCCCUCCAUACUCUCGCUCCGCGACCGCAUUCCCUCCUGCGCGGUCGUCGGCAACAGCGGCAUUCUCCUCCGCGACAGCCACGGCGCCCUCAUCGACUCCCAUGCCGCCGUGUUCCGCCUCAACAACGCCCGUGUCUCCGGCUACUCCGCGCACGUCGGGGCCAAGACCAACCUCUCCUUCAUCAACAGCAACAUACUCCAUCUUUGCGCGCGCCGCCCCGGCUGCUUCUGCCACCCCUACGGCAACGGGGUGCCCAUCCUCCUCUACAUCUGCCAGGCCGUCCACUUCCUCGAUGUCGCCUCCUGCAACGCCUCAUCAGCCUCCAUUCACGCCGCCCCCAUCUCGGUCACCGACCCUCGCCUAGACGUCCUCUGCGCGCGCAUCGUCAAGUACUACUCGCUCCGCCGCUUCGUCGCCGAGACGGGCCGCGCGCCCGAGGAGUGGAACGGCGUGCACGAUGCGGCCUUGUUCCACUACUCGUCCGGCAUGCAGGCCAUCAUGGUCGCGGUGGGAGUGUGCGACAGAGUGAGCGUGUUCGGGUUCGGGAAGGCGGCCGACGCGAAGCAUCACUACCACAGCAACCAGAAGAACGAGCUUGACCUCCACGACUACGAGGCGGAGUACGCCUUCUACCGCGACCUCGCCGAGCGACCGCAGGGCAUGGUGAUUAAUGAAAAAAGAAAGGAAGAUGGAAACUAGGAAGAACUAUCCCCUCACAUACGGCGUUGUGGGCUGUGGCUGACACAUGGGGCCGGGCCCACCCGUCAGCCACCCCCAUGGUAGCAGUUGUAUGUCAGAGGAGCUGCGUCCGGAAAGCAUGCUUGACAUUUUACGGUGAAAUGUUACCGUCCGUGACACACCAUUCUGUUGUUGUGCCAUCAACAGCGAGCCCACCACCUAGUAUGUUUCAAACACGGCUCAGGAGGCUUCCGGCUCGUUGGCCUCAAAACACUCGUCACGACGAAGUUGCAGACUUGCAGUACAGCCGCCGGUUGUUUAAUCAGUGCAGGCUGUGGAGCAUUGUGUGCGAGGUGCAUUUGAUGAUUCGAUCUACCAUGUUAUGCGUGCACUGCACAUUUAGUGAGCCUGGUACCUUUUGUUCUGUCUCUUUUUUAUACUCCUACUAGAGUGAAAGGACAGCCCAUACAUGUUAUUGAGUGUACUGGAUCUCACCUUAAACCGGUAAACUAAUUGACAGCUUUGGGUCACUUUUAGCAUUUCUCCUUGUCUUUUGAAGAACUUUCUUUUUGUAAAGUUAUAUCUAUCAUUAAUCUUCCCUACUA